rnacentral:rRNA from 1 species
AGAGUUUGAUCAUGGCUCAGAACGAACGCUGGCGGCGUGGAUAAGACAUGCAAGUCGAGCGAGAUUUUUUCCUGUAGCAAUACAGGGGAAAGUCUAGCGGCGAACGGGUGCUUAACACGUGGGCAACCUGCCAAGAAGUGGGGGAUAGCUCGCCGAAAGGCGAAUUAAUACCGCAUGUGAUCAGAGUGGACAUCCAUUCGAAAUCAAAGUCGGGGCAACCUGACGCUUCUUGAGGGGCCCGCGGCCUAUCAGCUAGUUGGUGAGGUAACGGCCCACCAAGGCUUUGACGGGUAGCUGGUCUGAGAGGACGACCAGCCACACUGGGACUGAGACACGGCCCAGACACCUACGGGUGGCAGCAGUCGAGAAUUUUUCUCAAUGGGGGAAACCCUGAAGGAGCGACGCCGCGUGGAGGAUGAAGGUCUUCGGGUUGUAAACUCCUGUCAUUUGGGAACAAGGUGUGCGCGUUAACUGCGCGCGCAUUGAUAGUACCAGAAGAGGAAGAGACGGCUAACUCUGUGCCAGCCGCGGCGGUAAUAC